rnacentral:rRNA from 1 species
CAGCCGCCGCGGGAAUACGUAGGUGGCAAGCGUUGUCCGGAAUUAUUGGGCGUAAAGCGUGCGCAGGCGGUGUUGUAAGACUGAUGUGAAAUCCCCGGGCUCAACCUGGGAAUGGCAGUGGAUACUGGCUCGCUAGAGUGUGUCAGAGGAUGGUGGAAUUCCCGGUGUAGCAGUGAAAUGCGUAGAGAUCGGGAGGAGCAUCAGUGGCGAAGGCGGCCAUCUGGGACAACACUGACGCUGAGGCACGAAAGCGUGGGGAGCAAACAGGAUUAGAUACCCCAGUAGUCCCUGUCUCUUAUAC